rnacentral:tRNA from 1 species
AGAAAUUUAGGUUAACCAAACCAAAGGCCUUCAAAGCCCUAAAUAUGAGACGCACCUCUUAAUUUCUG